UGGUGACAAAGUUUGGGUUUGUUAGGAUUAUUUUUCAGCAGCCAAUCAGCUAGCCAAAUCUAUGGGAAAAAAAAAAACAACCUAAGUUAAGAAACAGUUACAUAUUUCCUUUCAAUAUAUACUAUAUCAAUUGGAAACUUAAACAGUUUUCAAAAUCACUUUAAGAAAAUGACCAUUAAAAAUGGAAACAUUUGGAUUUACAUUAUGCAAGAUUGUCAAGAAUAGAUCCAAACUGGCAAGAAAGAAGUAAAACUAUCUCUUUUCACAGAUGGCAUAAACCUACAUGUGGAAAACCCUAAGGAAUUUACAAGGAAGCCACUACAGCUAAUAAAUUCAGCGAAGAUGUAGGUUACAAUACACAAAAAUCAACUGUAUUUCUAUACAUCAGCAAUGACAGUCCAAAAAAAAAUUUUAAAUCACUUUCAUUUACAGUAGCAUAAAGACAAAUAAAAUGCCAAGGGAUAAAUUUAACCCAAGAAGCGAAAGGCUUAUACAUUAAGAACUGUAGAACAUUGCUGAAAGAAAUUAAAGAAUACCUAAAUAAAUGAGAAGACAUUAUUUUUCAUGGAUACGGAGAUUUGAUAUUGUUAAGAUGUCAAUACUUCCCAAAGCAAUCUACAGAUUCAGUGCAGCUCUUGCCAAAUGUCCAACAAGUUUUUUUGCAGAAAUGGAAAGCCAAUCCUCAAAUUCAUAUGAAAUUGCAAGGGGCUCUGAGGAGCCAAAACAAUCAUGAAAAAGAACAAAGUUGGAGGACUGAUUUGUACUCUCAAUUUCAAAACCUUCUACAAAGCUACAGUAGUCAGCACAGUGUGGUAAUGACAUCCUUAUGCCAGACAUGCAGACCAAUAGAAUGGACCUGAGAGUCCAGUGCUCUCUUCGGCAGCACAUAUACCAAAACUGGAAUGAUACAGAGAGAUUAUUAGCAUGGCUCCUGUGCAAGGAUGAUGCACAAUUUAUUAAGCAUUUCAUAUUUUAAAAAAAGAAUGAGAAUCCAGGAAUAAACCCACGCAUCUAUGGUCAACAAAUUUUUGACAAUGGUACCAAGCCCAUUGGUACCACUGGACUUGGAGAAAGAACAGUCUCUUCAACAGAUGGUACUAGGACAAUUGGAUUUCCACAUGCAAAUGAAUAAAGUUGGACCCCUAUACCACACCAUAUACAAAAAUGAACUCACAAUGGACCAAUGACCUAAAUAUAAGAGCUUAAACAAUAAACAUCUUAAAAGAGGCCAGUGACUCACACCUGUGAUCCCAAUACUUUUGGAGGCCGAGGUAGGAAGAUCACUUGAGACCAGGAGUUCAAGACCAGCCUGGGCAACAUAGGGAGACCCCAUCUCUACAAAAAAUUUUAAAAAUUAGCUGGGUGUGGUAGUGUGCUCCUGUGGUCCCAGCUACUUGGCAGCCUGGUGCACAAGAAUCACUUGAACUCAGGAGGCAGAGGUUGAAGUGAGCCGAGAUGGCGCCACCAGACUCCAGCAUGGGGAACAAAGACCCUGUCUCAAAAAAAAAAAAAAAAAAAAAAGGAAAGAAAAAAAAUCUUAAAAGAAAACAUAAAACACAGGGGUAAAUUUUCAUGACCUUGGAUUUGGAUUUCACAAUGGAUUCUUAGACAUGACAUCAAAAGCACAAGAAAUAAAAGAAAAAAUAAAUAAAUUGGAUUUCAUCAAAUGAAAAAUGUUUAUACAUUAAAGGACAUUAUCAAGAAAGUGAAAAGACAACCUACAAAAUGGAAGACAAUAUUUGCAAAUCAUAUAUCUAAUAAGGGUUUAACAUCUAGAAAUACAAAGAACUUUAACUCAACAAAAAGACAACCCAGUUUAAAAAUGGGCAAAGGACUUCAAUUUGAAUAGACAUUUCUUCAAAGAAGGUAUACAAAUGGCCAAGAAGCUCAUGAAAAGAUGUUCAACAUUAGCCAUUAGGGAAAUGCAGAUCAAAACCACCGUGAGAAACCAUUUUGUGUUAUCUACUAGCAUGGCUACAAAAAAAAAGAAAGAUAGGUCGGGCGCGGUGGCUCACACCUGCAAUCCCAGCACUUUGGGAGGCCAAGGCAGGUGGAUCACCUGAGGUCAGGAGUUCGAGACCAGCCUGGCCAACAUGAAGAAACCCUGUCUCUACUAAAAAUACAAAAAUUACCCGGGCGUGGUGGUGUUCGCCUGUAAAUCCCAGCUACUCAGGAGGCUGAGGCAGGAGAAUCACUUGAACCUGGGGGGCGGAGGUUGCAGUGAGCCCAGAUUGCGCCUCUGCAUUCCAGCCUGGGCAACAGAGUGAGACUCCGUCUCAAAAAAUAAUAAUAAUAAAUAAAUAAAACACAGCAAGAAAAUAAUAAGUAAUCAAUAAUUAUACAUAUCUAACAUGUAUAUGAAAUACCUUCUAGAAAUGUUUAUUUUAAAAAGGUUCUCAAUAUUUGCAGUAUUUCAUUUAUUUACUUAUUUAUUUUUUGAGAUGGAGUCUCGCUCUGUUGCCCAGGCUGGAGUGCAGUGGCACAAUCUCGGCUCACUGCAAG
rnacentral:lncRNA from 10 species